ensembl:snoRNA SNORA73 Small nucleolar RNA SNORA73 family
CCAACGAGGGCACCCUGUGAGAUGGCUCUCAUAUGGCUCUGUCCGUGUGGCGUAUGGGAGCGUAGCACAUUAGUGCCAUGACGCGUGGUCCCGUUCCAUGACGUUGGAUAGCAUGCUUGUCCCCGGCUCUUGGCUGUUGAGGACGGCGUCCUGUAUAUUCCUAGGUCUUCCCAGAGCUCUUUUGGCUAUUACUGGGGAGGUAAACCAUGCAGUGCACAUAA